GUCUCUUCGGCUCCGCUCUUUGAUGCGGUGUACGCGAUGGUGGCAGCUAUCCAGGAGUUGAACCGCAGCCAGAAUAUCAGUGCCACUCAGCUCUCCUGCAAGUCCUCCAAGAUCUGGGAGCACAGCACCAGUCUGAUCAAAGUCAAGGAUAGGAAGAGUACCUCUAAUGGGCGAAACAGCGCUCACCUGAGGUAUUUGGGGAAAUUUAGUCCUGUGUGGUCUUGAAGAGGACAGUGACCAGCUUCAUGCUUUUACAGUACAGACAAGCUUCCACCAGCAGCCAUUUAUGGGGGGUACAAAUGAGCUGUCAGUGAAUAAAAUGUUUCAAGUCAUAAGAAAAAAUGGUUCCAAGUGAUGUGCUAUCCAAGUACUUAAAUCCGUCAUAUGCUUAAUAUCACGUUAGUCUUUUCACUUAUAGUAAAAUGAUGUGAUUUAUGGCUCCCCUAAUUGGCAGUAUACUGAAGAGACAGUAGUUAUAUCCUUGUGUUUUCAGUCUAAGCCAGACAUAUUUCAAAAGACUCACACAAAGUCAGUCAUGGCAUGCUAAUGUGGCCUGCAGUCAUAUUGAGGAUGAGACGAGAUCAGCAAUGUUUCCUACCCAGGGGUUUUAACAUGUCUCUCUCUCUCUCUGUUAGACAGGUAGAAUUGGAGGGUCUAACAGGCCACAUUGAAUUCAAGGCCAGAGGUUGAACUACACCCUUAGGAUCAUGCGGAACAGCAAGGAAGGCCUAAGGCAGGUAAAGUAACUCACAGCCUGACAAAUAUUUUUCCUGAUAUUGUAAGUUUCAACAUCAGCACCAGCUCCAGUGUUAAGUUCACGAGGGCAGCCCGAAAGAAUGUUUGUUUGAAUAGAGCUGUAUUUCCUGAAGUGACUCAGCUCCAUUUUCCCCGGCCAUAAUACACUUCUUAUUGUUGAACACAAAGCUUUUGAGCACUGUCCUGAUCUCAGCAGAGCUCUCCUGCUGUCAAAUGUUUCAGCUGUCGUCUUUAUGGCAGAGAUGUAAGUUGAGCUGGAUCUACACGAGGGAGCCUUAAGUUUCAAGGUUCUGAGGUGAUAAAACCAAAUAGUAGGGCAUAUUUUUACGGAAAAUAAAGAUUUUUUUCAGAUAUAACAUACUGACAUUUACAGCAUUUUCAGAUUUUUCAACCUUGUCUCUAACUUUAAAAACAAAAAUGUUAUACUCUAAAAUCAAUUCAAAUUUAAAAGAUUUCUUGAUACAGAGGCAACAUUAAACCUUAAUGACUCUGAUUGCCAUUUUCAAAGUAUGUAGUGCCCUGUUCUUGUCUCCUAAUGGGACAUCAUUAGAGCAGGUGAUAACAACAAAGAUAACAAGACUGUCAUGGAGUUGUAGAACAGAGUCGCUAAUUGUACACACAAUCCAGAUGAGCUUCUGAGGGGGGCAGCUAUCACUGUUGUUCCCACUAUGAGAACCAGUAACUCUGAGUUAAGCUCGACAUGAAAAUUACACUGCAGCCAAAACUGACUGUGAAAAUCUCUUUCCCCAAAAUGACUGACAGAUUCCUUUCCCUCCAUCAGCAGCAUCUCAGACUGCUUCAAUGGAGCCGAAACCAUCAGGAGGAGUGAAACUUAGUGGUUUAUUACUCAGGUAAUAAAAACAGGUGUGUGUGUGUGUGUGUGUGUGUGUGUGUGUGUGUGUGUGUGUGUGUGUGUGUGUGUGUGUGUGUGUGUGUGUGUGUGUGUGUGUGUGUGUGUGUAUGUGUGUGUUUGCGUGAUAUUGGAAGAGAAGAGACAUCAAAAAGAGUUUGUUUUAAUAGUUUAAAGUCAAAGUAAAUGAAGCUCUUUAUGAAAAGUGAAAGGCAGCUAAAGUUUUGUUUCAUUUAAUGAUGUUUUAUAAUAUACAUCAAUUUGUGUUAUAACUCUUUAUUUAUAUAUUUAUGGAGCUUUAUAUAUAUUCUCUGUAUCUCUGUGUAACUACAGUGUAGAUGACCCAUGUAAGGUUUCUUCGGUUUUCAGUUAAAUACUGCAAAACUACCAUUAAAAGUACAAGAGUCAUUUCAGAGCAACAUCAGGACAAAUUUUUGUCUAAAAUCACAUUUGCAAACUCAUUUGCGAUGUUGCUGUCUAUUUUACUUCAUGUAGACUCUCCAAC